AUGCAGACGCUCAUACUGUUGGGCAAUCGGAAGAUUGUUGAUCUGGAAGACACCAUGGAGUUAUUUAUGGAGCUUCAAGUCAUCGGAGACCGAGCAGUAAAAAAGCUUGCAUUUUCACAUAUUGUACACAGCAUCAGAAGGAUGAAUCAGAAGCACAAGAAUGAAGCCAAGAAUCGCAAACUGCAAGGCAUCCUUUUUAAAUUAGUACAGGGCGAGGAAGAGUCGAGAGCAAAGAGGGCUUUCACUAUCCUAUGUGAUCUUCACCGUCGAAGGGUCUGGUUUGAUGACCGCACAGCAAAUGCUAUAUGCGAUGCUUGUUUCCAUCCUUCUUCGAGGCUUAUGACAGCUGCUAUUUCAUUGCUCAUUGGGUAUGAAAAUGUUGAGCAAGAGGAUGAUAGUGAUGCCAGCAGUGAAGAUGAUGUUUACAAGGUGAUUUGGAUGUUUCUGCAUAUUCCGAAAAAAGGUCAAAUCACAAGGGUACCUCUGCUAGUAAGAAAAAGAAGAAAGCUAAAUUGGAGCGUGUAG
rnacentral:rRNA from 1 species